rnacentral:rRNA from 1 species
GGCCUAACACAUGCAAGUCGAGCGCGAAAACACUUCGGUGUGAGUAGAGCGGCGGACGGGUGAGUAAUGCUUGGGAAUCUGCCCAGUAGUGGGGGAUAACGUGUGGAAACGCACGCUAAUACCGCAUACGUCCUACGGGAGAAAGCAGGGGAUCUUCGGACCUUGCGCUAUUGGAUGAGCCCAAGUCGGAUUAGCUAGUUGGUGGGGUAAUGGCCUACCAAGGCGACGAUCCGUAGCUGGUCUGAGAGGAUGAUCAGCCACACUGGGACUGAGACACGGCCCAGACUCCUACGGGAGGCAGCAGUGGGGAAUAUUGCACAAUGGGCGAAAGCCUGAUGCAGCCAUGCCGCGUGUGUGAAGAAGGCUCUAGGGUUGUAAAGCACUUUCAGUAGGGAGGAAAAGCUUAAGGUUAAUAACCUUGAGCCCUGACGUUACCUACAGAAGAAGCACCGGCAAACUCCGUGCCAGCAGCCGCGGUAAUACGGAGGGUGCGAGCGUUAAUCGGAAUUACUGGGCGUAAAGCGCGCGUAGGUGGUUUGAUAAGCUAGCUGUGAAAGCCCCGGGCUCAACCUGGGAACUGCAGUUAGAACUGUCUGACUAGAGUACAGUAGAGGGUGGCGGAAUUUCCUGUGUAGCGGUGAAAUGCGUAGAUAUAGGAAGGAACAUCAGUGGCGAAGGCGGCCACCUGGACUGAUACUGACACUGA